GCUUGGCUGGCUCAGUCGGUGGAGCACGAGACUCUGGAUCUCGGGGUUGUGAGUUCAGGCCCCAUGUUGAGCG
rnacentral:tRNA from 1 species